AAGUGCACUGUGCUCAAAGGGCUCCAGUUGUCCAGUGAAGGAAGCACCAGGAUCCUGUGUCCUCUCUUUGCCCCAGUCUUCAAUGUCCCAGAUACUCCCAGGAGUCUACUCAUCUUGGUGGCCCUAAUUUGGUAUCCCUCGUGUCCUGCUGGCUGGCAGUAACAGAAAAGCCUGGCCUUUGAAUAUGACCCUGUCUGCUCUUCACCUGCUGCCUGGAACAUUUCUUGACUUCUGCUUCUCCAGACAUCUCAUUUUGUAAAGGAGCAACGAUGGUCUCAGUUGCUAAAGCUGUUGAAAUUCCACAGAAUACAGCAAUGAAGAAGUGGGCGAUACCGGCCCUUUCCUUCCAUCUUCCAAGAUGUCCUCUGCUCUCCUGUUCAACCUCUCUGCUGGCACGCUUCCCUUAGUUUGUAAACCCUUUCCCAUAUUAAGAAAAAGACUUGGUUUUGCUCUGUCCUUUGCUCUUCCUCUUCCCUGUACAGUGAGGCUUUCCACGACAGCUGACCAUAGGCCAUGUUUACAAUCCUCACAUGCCAUAAACCUGCUGGCAUGUGGCUUCCUGCCAAGUCUUCAUUUCAAAAUGCCUUCUAUAAAGGUCACUUCUUGACACCUUUCCUUUAGCAAUGCACAGGUUGACAUAGUAAGGGCCAGGGCCAGGGCCAGGAUGACCUUGGAGAACCCUGUCUUCUGGGUCUCUGACGGACUUGAGACAAUUGCUCUGUCUACAGUAGAUGGCUGGUAGGUGUGUGUCCUUUCUCCCAUCUCCCUGGGGUACUCAUGGCCAGUGGUUUCAAAUUGUCUCUGGAACGUUCUCCAUCUACAAUUCUAUAUUAGUUUGUAGCUUUUCUCUUUUUCUCCCUUUCCUUCUGUCUGUCUGACCUUUUUUUCGAG